rnacentral:lncRNA from 1 species
AGAGCAAGUCAGACCAGAGUUCUGGAAAAGGUCUGACCUGGGACUAGAAGCUCUAUUUAACCUUGAGGAGGGGUAAGACUCACUGGCCAAUCAAGGCCCCCAGGCGGACCUGUCAGUCAGACAGAGAGGGUUGUUCCGGAUAACUUGCUGCAGGUUUGUUUUGGAGUGCAGGAGUGAAUAGUCCUUUCUGUCCUGCUUUGAGUACUGCUGUUGGGUGCCAUGGGGGGACCUUAAGCAAGCUCUGAAGUUGAGACAUGGGCUGCACGGGACGAAGAUAGAGGAGGCUCUAGGAGGACAGGCACAAAGGCUACCCGAAUGCAAAGCACUCCCGAGAUCUGUAAAAGGACUGGCCCCGGACAGGAAGCACACUUUAAACUAGAGGAGGGGAUUAAACAGUUCUCUGUAUCCUGCUUUGAGCGCUGCUGUUGGGUGCUGUGAGGGGACCUCAAGUAAGCUCCAUUUUUGAAA